rnacentral:rRNA from 1 species
UACGUAGGGUGCAAGCGUUAAUCGGAAUUACUGGGCGUAAAGCGUGCGCAGGCGGUUGUGCAAGACCGAUGUGAAAUCCCCGGGCUUAACCUGGGAAUGGCAUUGGUGACUGCACGGCUAGAGUGUGUCAGAGGGGGGGUAGAAUUCCACGUGUAGCAGUGAAAUGCGUAGAGAUGUGGAGGAAUACCGAUGGCGAAGGCAGCCCCCUGGGUCAAGACUGACGCUCAUGCACGAAAGCGUGGGGAGCAAACAGG